UACGUAGGGGGGCUAGCGUUGUCCGGAUUUAUUGGGCGUAAAGAGCGUGUAGGCGGCCAGGUAGGUCUGCUGUGAAAACUCGAGGCUUAACCUCGAGAUGUCGGCGGAAACCAUCUGGCUAGAGUCCGGAAGAGGAGAGUGGAAUUCCUGGUGUAGCGGUGAAAUGCGCAGAUAUCAGGAAGAACACCCGUGGCGAAGGCGGCUCUCUGGGACGGUGACUGACGCUGAGACGCGAAAGCGUGGGGAGCGAACAGG
rnacentral:rRNA from 1 species